CAACGGCGCAAAUGUACUGUACAAAAUGUACAUAGCGGGCGUCAACUCCCGUACGACGAUGUGUAUCGAGAGUGAGCUGGUACAUAACGUACCACCGGAAUCAAAUACGCGUACCUUGGUAGUGAAGAGUGGUUAUUCAAUUUACUCAACAUUACGCGCUUGACGCCAGACUGCUCGCACCGGGAUUCAUUCAUUUAUAUGUUUCUUAUCACUACCUUCGCAAUACAAAAACACGCACCAAACCAAAUCUGCCGAAAAUGGCGCGUAAUGUACAUAAUUAAAAAGGUAAAUGUAGAAAGGUUUCAAAGAUGAUAACAACUCCACGGUGUUGAACUGCGUAAAUCACAGAAAAUAAUCUACGUCAAGGCACAUCCAAUAUCUCGGAACCUUGCUGUAGUAAACAACGUAUUCUAGUGUUCCUGGACCGUGAAGCGUAGUUCGUGGCCGAGCUACGGUUGCACUAGUGAAGCGCUAAUUGUUUUGCACUCGCUAGCGUUCGAAAGCGGGUGCAUGCAACAAACAAGAGGUGAAGGGAGUUGUCAUGUGGAACAAUUAGGAAAUGGGGUGGUAGUAUAAAACAUUAAAUUUAAUAAUAAAGAUGCACUCCGUACCAAAUUUUACAGAUAAGAUCAAAGUUUUCAAAUACAUUCUUUUGCACUUUUCAGUCUAGAAGUUAUAUAAUUUAAAAUAAUUGAUUUUCACAUUUGGCCAUUUAGUUUCAGAAGGUUACAUGCGAAUGGAUAUUAUUGAGCAGGUGAAUCAUAGAAAACGUAACAUUGGACAAUGGAGGCAGGCAUAUUUCUAAGUCAUUUAAAACUCAUAACAUCCACAGGACAUUUUAGCAAAUUCUGCUAUUUACUUGCUACGAGAUUGGUCCCAAAGAUAAUAAAAGACAAUAUACUGCCAGACAGAUCAUCUUUGUUCGCAGCCACCUAGCUUUAUUGUCGGUGAAUAUGCAAAAAUUGAGAAGCUGACACUGACUAACACAAGAGGAUUACGAUGUCGGUUGUUUCAACGCAGCAGCCAUCUCUUUAAUUAUAUUAAAACCAAUUUACACUUUCCGGUUUUCACUGUGCGCCGUUUCCGAUUCGCUACGCUGCUCAAUUUCGUUGGAAGUGAGAACUAUCCGAUUCACUACUAAGCGCACAAAGUUUAAUCAAGUUUGGCACUUAAACUUCCACCUACCCGAUUAACUGAUAUCGUUUCUUGCAGGGCCGAAAUAUUGCUGCACUCGAUGAUUCCCCUGCUUACGAUGCGAUAUUUAUUGUUUUAGACCGUAUUUGCACAAGUAAAAGAGAUAUUGGGGUCACUUAUUUUAAAAUCAAAAUAUUUUUUCACCUUCGUCACUAUUUUUCACUCGCGAAUAAAGACAAAAAACAA